rnacentral:rRNA from 1 species
GGCGUAAAGGGCUCGUAGGUGGUUGAUCGCGUCGGAAGUGUAAUCUUGGGGCUUAACCCUGAGCGUGCUUUCGAUACGGGUUGACUUGAGGAAGGUAGGGGAGAAUGGAAUUCCUGGUGGAGCGGUGGAAUGCGCAGAUAUCAGGAGGAACACCAGUGGCGAAGGCGGUUCUCUGGGCCUUUCCUGACGCUGAGGAGCGAAAGCGUGGGGAGCGAACAGGCUUAGAUACCCUGGUAGUCCACGCUGUAAACGGUGGGUACUAGGUGUGGGGUCCAUUCCACGGGUUCCGUGCCGUAGCUAACGCUUUAAGUACCCCGCCUGGGGAGUACGGCCGCAAGGCUAAAACUCAAAGGAAUUGACGGGGCCCCGCACAAGCGGCGGAGCAUGCGGAUUAAUUCGAUGCAACGCGUAGAACCUUACCUGGGUUUGACAUGGAUCGGGAGCGCUCAGAGAUGGGUGUGCCUCUUUUGGGGUCGGUUCACAGGUGGUGCAUGGCUGUCGUCUGCUCGUGUCGUGAGAUGUUGGGUUAAGUCCCGCAACGAGCGCAACCCUUGUUCACUGUUGCCAGCACGUUAUGGUGGGGACUCAGUGGAGACCGCCGGGGUCAACUCGGAGGAAGGU